UACUGAAGAAAUGCAUUUAUUUUGUCAGUACUAUUAAUUCUUCUGCACAAAAGUCAAAACAAUAAAUAAAGUUGGCCAGUUCAACUUAUCAAAGUUAAGUCACAUACCUUUUUUACAUACCAUCUUUUUUAAAUGAUGCUGGUAAUUACAUAUUUGGCUUAAUUAUGGCAAUUUAAAGAAAACAUAUUAUUAUUAUUUAAAUAUUAUUAUUAUUAAUAAUAAUGUUAGAGAAAGAAGAAACCCAAAAAGAGCAGUCCCCACAUUUCCAUCUAAAGUGAUACAAAUUGUUUUGCAGAUGUUGAAUGUGAUAAAGAUGUAAUAUAUAGUAAUAAAUAAAUAAAUUAAGGUUAUAUUAAUAAAAAAUCACAUUGGCUAUUACAUUAUCCAGGGCAACAUACAGUUUGUACAUUCAUGUUAAGUUGACUAGCCAGGAAAACCACACUCAGUCUUAGUAAGUGCGUUUUUUCUCAUUAAUGUAGCCAUCAGCAGAAGUCAAUGCUAGAAGGUGAAUUCAUGUAAGCAAACACAUUUUGCCUAGUACUUGACAUGGAAUGAUCUAAUACAAAUUAAUAUAUUUAAAAAUACUGUACACUAAGCUUAACUUGCGUUGAACUUUUUGUUUUCUUAUUUGUUUGCUAAGCCACUAACAGUUUCAUUAUGGGUAUACUUUCAUUGGUUAAGACAUUCUGGAUGACCACAUGAAACAUAUAUGGCCUACUUCUGUCAAAAACAGGUGUUAGCAGGUUUAAUUAACUUCAGAGCUGUUAUUUGUUCAUCCACUGUAUACAAGCAAACAAUUUGCCUGUUUCACAUUGAAAUUAAACUUGUUAGGUAGUAAGAGGAGAUUACAUUUCAUAUGAUGUCCUUAUCUGGGGUCUGUUGAUCCUUAUCUGUGGAAACAAGUGAUGGUUUAGUUAUUUUGUGUUCACAGGUGCUUGUCGGUGUGUCUAUGUACACGUGUAUGACCUCACCAGGAAUAACUUCAUAGUGUGGCUAUAGUGUGAGGGUAUUCUCCUUGCAGAUACAAUGAUCAGGAUGUUAUCCAUCUAAUAAAGUAGUUAUAGUUAACUCACAGGCUGGUUGUUUGACAGGUUGUUCAUUUGGAUGGAAGGCUGUGAGGGGUAGUACUGUGGAGGGUUCUCCAGGUAUGGAUCAGGGUUGUAAGAUGGAAGAGAACUGCUGGGCUGUUGGUACAUAUUUGACAGCCCAUGGUUGUAUGCUGGGUUAUCAUGCGCCCCUAGGAAAAGAAAUUGACUUAAACAAUAAAACAAUCUCUGGUAUUCCUGUAUUUCAUUUGCACAUGCAGACUUGCACCUUAAACUUGCACUUUAACCCUGCCCUCACUACACAUUGCACAUUUAGAACUGCCACUGUACUUGCAUUUUGCAAUUGUUACGUACACAUCUACCUCGGGAAGCUCAUUGCUGCAAUCCCUGCAUUUCAGUUGCACAUGCUACCCCAUUCCUUCAAUUUGCCUCGAUUGCAAAUUUAGAAUGCCGUUGAGAAUGAUACUUAAUACCUGUAAAUUUUCUGUAAAUUUGUGAAUUUUCCACUGCACAUUUAGAAUUGCCAAAUGUAAGGCAUUUGCAUUAAUUACACACCUAUACAUUCCACUUCUAUAUAUAUACAUACUUGUAAAUAUUUCUGCACUCCCCUAUUUGCGCAACUAUUUGCAAAACAAGACACAAAGUGCGUUUCGUUGUACUGUACUUGUACUGUUCUAUGACAAUUAAGUUGAAUCUAAUCUAAUCUUUUUGACAGCUGAAACAAGCACAUAAAAACCUACAAAUUAUACAAAUUCAAUCAAAGAAUGUACCUAGUUUAGGAGGGUUGGCAGACUUACCACUGGGUGACGGCCAUUCAAAGUCAUCCUCCAGCCACUGGUUAACCAUUUGCCCCUUAGUGUCCUUGUUUCUGUCAAAGGAAAAGAGAGAAAAUUAUAAAUAUGCAGUAUUUUAAUUUAGGGUAACGAUUAUUACUACCGUAUAUUAAAGAUACAUUGAUGUCUCCUCAAAUAUUUUUUCUUUAUUUAUUUAAUUUCUAUAUUUAUAAUAAUUACUUUAUGUGUUAAUUGGUUGAAUUUUUCCACCAAAACACAUACUGUUUAUUUGAAAUGACAAAU
ensembl:lncRNA